rnacentral:rRNA from 1 species
AAAGGCCGAAAGGUGACCGACCUUCGGGAGCUUGCACAGGUGCUGCAUGGCUGUCGUCAGCUCGUGUCGUGAGAUGUCGGUUAAGUCCGCUAACGAGCGCAACCCUCGCUGUGUGUUAUAUGUGUCACACGGGACUGCCGGUCUUAAGCCGGAGGAAGGUGGGGAUGAUGUCAAGUCAGCAUGGCCUUUAUAUCCUGGGCUACACACACGCUACAAUGGCCAACACAAUAGGUUGCUAAGCCGCGAGGUGGCGCCAAUCCAUAAAGUUGGUCUCAGUUCAGAUUGUAGGCUGCAACCCGCCUGCAUGAAGAUGGAGUUGCUAGUAACCGCAGGUCAGCUAUACUGCGGUGAAUACGUUCCCGGGGCUU